AUCGACUCCCCUGUCCAUUACUGUGGGCCAUUUUAAGGAUGUUAAGGAAAGGGCGCACAGCCUUUCCCUAAAAUCUGGCAGGACUUGGUCCAGGAUCCGCCACCUUGGCUAAAGACCCUCCUGCCAGCAUCGAGGAAGAAGACACAAGUCCUAGUUACCAAAGAGAGGAGAGGGAGCGAAUCCAGGGAGAGUCACGAAAGUUAG